rnacentral:lncRNA from 1 species
UUUGAGUCACUUAGCCUAUAUUUCCCUACCUUAACCAAUGUCCCUACAUUAUAACCCGAAGAAAAAGACCUUUUUGAUCUUAGUCCUGGCACACUUUUAGCGAUGGAGAUUGUAGACGAUUGGCAAGCUUAUGGUAAGUGAUCUACAUUGUAUUGAAUUCGAUGAGAGCAUACACGUCCUAUCUAUUCCAUCAAAUUGAGAGUUGAGUGAUACACAUACCUUGUGAGAUUCAAUUGUUUGGAAUGUCAAGGUUGAUUUUGCUAUAGGUUGUGUUUAUUAGUGAAUUUUGUGCUUAAUUAUUGAGGAUUUGAGAAUUCUAUCAUUCUUUAUUUUUCGGAGGCAUCGAUGAGCUAGAUUUCUUACCCAUUCGUGUUUUUGAUUGUGUUCUUCU